rnacentral:tRNA from 1 species
GCCUGGGUGGCUCAGUCGGUUGAGCAUCCGACUUCGGCUCAGGUCAUGAUCUCUCAGUUGGCGGGUUAAAGCCCCGCAUCGGGCU